CUGUGGCCUAGGAGUUUUCACGGAAGAAGUGUACAGAACGAUUAUAAGUAAUAUCAGAAAAUUGAGGUGGAGAUGAUGAUGUUAUUGGGACAAGGGACUGAUGAUGCCGCCGCCGAUGAGCUCGGGGAUGAGGAUGGUAUCGAGAGAAAGGGGUAUAGAAAGUUGCAGGUAUUAUGGUAGGAGCAUGAUAGGGUUUUGUUAAAGUGAAACAGUCUAAAGCAGGCUGGUGGGUUAGAGAACAAGGGGGUGUGAACAGCCCAUUAGUAGUUGGGUAAGUGAGCUUAAGAGGAGGGAGACGAGGAGGGGCAGGAAAGACUGGAAAAUAGAGAGAUUCUCCAGGUUUGGAUUUCUCAGGAGGGCAGGGGUAGUUACAGGGAAAGCAAGGAGUGAAGGGGAUAGGGACAGUAGGUGGCUGAAAAUAAGGGUUUGAGGUGAGGAGGUGGGAAACAUAUGGGGCAAUAUGGGAAGGGACAAGAGGAGAUUGAGUCCGAGUAGGCCAUACUGUUGUAGAAGGAGAAGCAUUGGCAGAAGUUUGGGAGGCUUGGGAAGGGGAUUUGGAGGGAGGUGGUGUGGGAGUCUGAGAAUGACUUCGGGAGGGAGGUCGGGUUUGGAAGGGAGAUGGGUUUAUAGCUGGGGUGGUAGUUUGGGAAGGAGCUCGUGUCGUAGGUUGAGAGGGAGAAGUUGGUCCACCAGGAGUUUGGGGUGGAACUCGAGAAGAAGAGGGAGAUAUGGGAGGAGUCUGGGUUGGUGUUCGGGGAUUGGGUUGUUGAUUGGAUCCUCUAGGUGUUGCAUGAGGUGGGUUUUGAGGAAGGUGGCCCGAACGGGAUUGGGAGGGGGAUUGGGCAGGGGAAGGAUUGGGGGAUUGGGAGGGGGAGUUCAUUGGUGUUGGGGAGGCUACUAUCUAUCUUAUAAAACCUAGCCUCUGAGUGAACCUCUCUUAGGAGCCCAAACCCCUCCCGGGUCACAAAAGUCAUUGUUAUCACCAUCACCAUCAUCAAUUAGUAAUUAUUGAGUGCUUACAAAGUCCAGGGCACUAUGCAUGCUUGUGAGGAGUUAAGAGGAUGGCCAACCUCAAAAUCUCCUUUUGUGGGGGGAUGAAAUGAACCAGAUUAUGGCUUUGUGAACUUCAAAAUGUGGGAAGAGCCACCAGAAAAUGGAGUCUAUAGCAAAAUCUACCAGUAGCCGGGGCAGCCAAAUGGGUAAGGAGACAGCACAGUCCUGAGGAUUGACCUGCAUGACCCAGAUAUGCCAAGGAGGAACUUGUGGUAGUGUGGUAGAGUACACAGAAGACUACACUUGGAAUCAGGAAGACCAGGUUUAAAUCCCACCUGAUUAGCUGUGUGACCCUGGACAAAUCACAACUUCUCCGGGCCCAGUUUUCUCAACCAUAAGAGAUGAGUAGGCUGGAUUUAAUGAACCAUAUCAUAUGUGAGCAUAUGACUUGAUGUCCUCCCUUCGGCCACCUCUACAAUUGAAGUCUCUUGGAUCAGGUGGUGGUGAAACUCUCCCACCUUAUCCCUAUGCACUAUCAAGUCUUCAUUCUUCCUCACUGCAGUGGCCACAUACUCCAAGAGCCUCUCAGCACCCCUCAGCAGACUUUCGGACUUCCUCACUUCACAUUAGACACUUCUGUCCUUGCCUUUCUCCUUAGGGAGAAGAGUGGCUGAGCUUUCAGUCAUAGUCCCAUGGCUCUCCAAGGCUCAAAUAGAUAAACACUAGUGUAUCCCUGGUUAUGACAAUAUCAAAGAGUGAUAAACAGGGAAAGUAUAAUAUGCUUAAAGGAACCAUGAAUAAUGAAGAAAUAUCAGUACUAAUCAUAUGCACUAAAUGGCAUCUCAUCUCAAUUAGUGAAGUCAACUGAGUUAUAAAAAGACAUAGUAUCACAAUAAUUGCAGGAGAUAUUAUUUUUCUUCCAGAUCUGGAAAAACAUAACUGUGAUUAGCUUAAAAGACCAUAUAGAAUGGAAUAAAC